rnacentral:rRNA from 1 species
AGUGAACGCUGGCGGUAGGCCUAACACAUGCAAGUCGAACGGCAGCACAGUAAGAGCUUGCUCUUACGGGUGGCGAGUGGCGGACGGGUGAGGAAUACAUCGGAAUCUACUUUUUCGUGGGGGAUAACGUAGGGAAACUUACGCUAAUACCGCAUACGACCUACGGGUGAAAGCAGGGGAUCUUCGGACCUUGCGCGAUUGAAUGAGCCGAUGUCGGAUUAGCUAGUUGGCGGGGUAAAGGCCCACCAAGGCGACGAUCCGUAGCUGGUCUGAGAGGAUGAUCAGCCACACUGGAACUGAGACACGGUCCAGACUCCUACGGGAGGCAGCAGUGGGGAAUAUUGGACAAUGGGCGCAAGCCUGAUCCAACCAUACCGCGUGGGCGAAGAAGGCCUUCGGGUUGUAAAGCCCUUUUGUUGGGAAAGAAAAGCAGCAGGUUAAUACCCCGCUGUCCUGACGGUACCCAAAGAAUAAGCACCGGCUAACUUCGUG